UACGUAGGGAGCGAGCGUUGUCCGGAGUGACUGGGCGUAAAGAGCACGUAGGCGGUCUGAUAUGUCGGAUGUGAAAACCCUGAGCUUAACUCAGGGCCUGCAUCCGAAACUGUUAGACUUGAGUACAGGAGAGGAAAGCGGAAUUCCUAGUGUAGCGGUGAAAUGCGUAGAUAUUAGGAGGAACACCAGUGGCGAAGGCGGCUUUCUGGACUGGAUCUGACGCUGAGGUGCGAGAGCUAGGGGAGCGA
rnacentral:rRNA from 1 species